rnacentral:rRNA from 1 species
UUACAGAUGGACCCGCGGCGCAUUAGCUAGUUGCUGAGGUAACGGCUCACCAAGGCAACGAUGCGUAGCCGACCUGAGAGGGUGAUCGGCCACACUGGGAUUGAGACACGGCCCAGACUCCUACGGGAGGGCAGCAGUAGGGAAUCUUCCGCAAUGGACGAAAGUCUGACGGAGCAACGCCGCGUGAGUGAUGAAGGUUUUCGGAUCGUAAAGCUCUGUUGUUAGGGAAGAACAAGUACCGUUCGAAUAGGGCGGUACCUUGACGGUACCUAACCAGAAAGCCACGGCUAACUACGUGCCAGCAGCCGCGGUAAUACGUAGGUGGCAAGCGUUGUCCGGAAUUAUUGGGCGUAAAGGGCUCGCAGGCGGUUUCUUAAGUCUGAUGUGAAAGCCCCCGGCUCAACCGGGGAGGGUCAUUGGAAACUGGGGAACUUGAGUGCAGAAGAGGAGAGUGGAAUUCCACGUGUAGCGGUGAAAUGCGUAGAGAUGUGGAGGAACACCAGUGGCGAAGGCGACUCUCUGGUCUGUAACUGACGCUGAGGAGCGAAAGCGUGGGGAGCGAACAGGAUKARAUACCCUGGUAGUCCACGCCGUAAACGAUGAKUGCUAAGUGUUAGGGGGUUUCCGCCCCUUAGUGCUGCAGCUAACGCAUUAAGCACUCCGCCUGGGGAGUACGGUCGCAAGACUGAAACUCAAAGGAAUUGACGGGGGCCCGCACAAGCGGUGGAGCAUGUGGUUUAAUUCGAAGCAACGCGAAGAACCUUACCAGGUCUUGACAUCCUCUGACAAUCCUAGAGAUAGGACGUCCCCUUCGGGGGCAGAGUGACAGGUGGUGCAUGGUUGUCGUCAGCUCGUGUCGUGAGAUGUUGGGUUAAGUCCCGCAACGAGCGCAACCCUUGAUCUUAGUUGCCAGCAUUCAGUUGGGCACUCUAUUUUUGACUGCCGGUGACAAACCGGAGGAAGGUGGGGAUGAGGUCAAAUCAUCAUGCCCCUUAUGACCUGGGCUACACACGUGCUACAAUGGACAGAACAAAGGGCAGCGAAACCGCGAGGUUAAGCCAAUCCCACAAAUCUGUUCUCAGUUCGGAUCGCAGUCUGCAACUCGACUGCGUGAAGCUGGAAUCGCUAGUAAUCGCGGAUCAG